CAUCAUCAGCUGCCCCAUUGUAUUUUCCUGAGUCUUAUUGCUGUUCUGAAAUCUCUCUCCUUUCAAAGGUGAUUUUAGUUUUGGGAAAAGGCAGAAGUUGCAGGGUGCCAAAUGUGGCCUGUAGGGGUGCUGAGACACCUGACUGAUUGAUAUUUGGCCUAAAAACUGCACAAGAUGUGA